AGUGAACGCUGGCGGUAGGCCUAACACAUGCAAGUCGAACGGCAGCACAGUAAGAGCUUGCUCUUACGGGUGGCGAGUGGCGGACGGGUGAGGAAUACAUCGGAAUCUACUUUUUCGUGGGGGAUAACGUAGGGAAACUUACGCUAAUACAGCAUACGACCUACGGGUGAAAGCAGGGGAUCUUCGGACCUUGCGCGGUUGAAUGAGCCGAUGUCGGAUUAGCUAGUUGGCGGGGUAAAGGCCCACCAAGGCGACGAUCCGUAGCUGGUCUGAGAGGAUGAUCGGCCACACUGGAACUGAGACACGGUCCAGACUCCUACGGGAGGCAGCAGUGGGGAAUAUUGGACAAUGGGCGCAAGCCUGAUCCAGCCAUACCGCGUGUGUGAAGAAGGCCUUCGGGUUGUAAAGCCCUUUUGUUGGGAAAGAAAAGCAGCAGGUUAAUACCCCGCUGUUCUGACGGUACCCAAAGAAUAAGCACCGGCUAACUUCGUG
rnacentral:rRNA from 1 species